rnacentral:rRNA from 1 species
UACGUAGGGUGCGAGCGUUAAUCGGAAUUACUGGGCGUAAAGCGCGUGCAGGCGGAUUGGUAUGUGCCGUGUGAAAGCUCUCAGCUUGCCUGGGAGAGGUCGCGGUAGACAGCCGAUCUGGAGGCUCGGAGAGGUCAGUGGAAUUCCCGGUGUAGUGGUGAAAUGCGUAGAUAUCAGGAGGAACACGAUGGCGAAGGCCAGGUCUCUGGGACAUUAACUGACGCUGAGGAGCGAAAGCAUGGGGAGCGA